rnacentral:lncRNA from 1 species
GCAGAUUUAAUGGUGGGGCACUGUCCUGAUCUGUCGCUCUCUUUUUUCCCCACAUAUUGUAUACAGCCAUGUGCUCCAGUGCGCCAACAUACACAAUGCACAGCCACACACCGACAAGGCAAAUCAAUUAGGCAUUAGUAUAUGAUGAUUGAUUUUUAAUAAUUAUAAAUUAAUAAUGGAUUAUUUGAAUUUUAAGCAACUUCUACUAAGAUUUUUUAAAAACACACAGUUAAACAGUUUGAAAAACAUGCUAACACAAAAUGACACAAUCUGCCAUGUUUGCACUAUCUUUUAGCUUAUAUUUAUGCUUAUUCUUAUGACUUAUUAGC